rnacentral:rRNA from 1 species
CUUUGCUGCUUUGCUGACGAGUGGUGGACGGGUGAGUAAUGCCUGGGAAACUGCCUGAUGGAGGGGGAUAACGUACUGGAAACGGUAGCUAAUACCGCAUAACGUCGCAAGACCAAAGAGGGGGAACCUUCGGGGCCUCUUGCCAUCAGAUGUGCCCAGAUGGGAUUAGCUAGUAGGUGGGGUAACGGCUCACCUAGGCGACGAUCCCUAGCUGGUCUGAGAGGAUGACCAGCCACAAUGGGACUGAGACACGGCCCAUACUCC